AGAUUGGCCAGUCAGGCAAGCAGCCAGCCAGCGAACAAGCCAGCGAACAACUCGCCCGCCCUCCCCUUUCACCCUACCUAAAGUAGGGGGAUGACGGACUACGGUGAAGCCACAAACUAAUUACGACCCGGGGCGCCGUCGAGAGUAGAGGCGCCGGUGGCUCGCUGGGGAUUGUCCGGGUCGCGAGGAAGAGGAAAAGAGGAAGAGGAAAGAGAGGCAGGGGCGCGGGCGCGAAGGUGGAGAAGGAUGAUGAGGAGAGGAGGUGAAAAGGAGGGACAGCGUUGGUGGACACCGUCCUCGAGGUUCCGUCGGUUUCUGUAAUUGAGAAAAGUUGAGGACGGAUAGCCGUGCAGGAAUAAGAUGGAUGGAGGAGAAAAUGGCGUUUUAAAGAUGUAACGAAAGUAUCGGUGUAGUAUCUUAAACAGAAAUUGGAACGUAUAUACUCGAGAUCAAGAGGAAUAUACGUAUUUUUUUAAAAAAAUUUUUUUGAAAAUUUAGCAUCGUAACGAGUAUAAUACUCAACAAGUAGAAUCGACAACAAAUUGAGGAAAAAAUAACGAUCGGAAACAGUGAUUGGCCGAAUUACCAAAAGAAUUAUCCAAUGUUCGAGAAGAGAUAAAAAUCGGGGGUAAAUAAACGAGUAAGUGAAUAAGUGAUUCGAUCGAUGAGCGAGCAUGAGAAAAACAGAGAAAAACGGGAGGGGAGGAGACAGAUGCGAGAACGAGAAAGGAAAAAGAAAAAGAAAGAAAAGAAGAAUGGAUUGAUGCAGAAAGAAUAUAUAUAUAUGUGAUAAGAAAAUAUGGAGCCAGAAAGGUUGAAGGAUAAGGAGGAUGGUGGCGAACGGCAUACAAAGGAAGCGGAUCGCUUUUUUUCGUGAACAUGCAAAACGGUCCGGGGAGGGGGCAAAGUGAACCACGUUGCUCCACGUUUGGAACGUAUCCUGAUCGAUUAUGCAAAUUUUCUCUCCACCGCGAGGUAAGAGGGUUCUCAGACACGGAUGGCAAGACCGGUCACGCACUGCACGUCUUUGAAUUCGAAUUAUCAGGCUGGAUGCCGAGCCAAAGUAACCCUUGUCUUUGAGUUUCGCUAAACUCCACUUUCCAUAAUGUAACCAAGAGGAGAAGAUAGCCGAAAGAUAUAUAUUUAUAGCUCGUAUCUCUUGGCGACACCCGUGGUCUCCGUAAAAUUGCUCGUCUACGAACGAAGAAAACGAACGAAUUGUAUCGAAUUAUUAUCCCCCUUUUGCUCGCUCAUCUUCUCGUGGACGAAAUCGUGGUUGGAUUUCGACGGGGAGAUUCGGCGCGAGUUCAUCGAGCUUUAUAAACACGUGUACAGGGAAACGAGGAUGGUCCACUGUUCGUGCCGUGAUUGCACCAGAUCGCAAAUUACCGAUAUCAGGCCAAUAUUGCGAUAAAUGACGUCCUGCCCUCCAUGCCUUCGAUAAUACGAUUACGCGCGAUAUCGCGGGUAAUCGCGUACGCGAUGAAUCGAUCUUUAUUGAAAAAAAGAGGGAGGGGGAGGGGGAAAGUGGAAAAAUCAUCCUGCAAAUUGCAUUACGACACGAUUGCGAAAUCGACGAGGGAGAAAAUAUUUUUUUCAGGGGGAGAAUUAGCAAUAGAUUGAACUUAAUUAGAAGCGUCUCGCUGCGGUUAUUAAUUAUAUAUAAUCGGAAACGAUAUACGGGGAAUAGGAAUUAAAUACUCGCGUGAUAUUACUCGAAUAUUUCUAUCCAUUUUUACGUAACCGGAAUCGUUCCAGUUUUGUUGCAUAAACGGUGUUGUGCGGAGACUCGUCCAAAAAAAUUCGAUAUGGAAUAUCUUUGUUACGUUUUGCAUAUUUUAUUCGAAAAACAUUAAUGAUUUAUUGUUAUUAGACUGUCGGUGGUUAUGGAUAAAAUUUAAAUGUACAGAAAAAUUCGAAAUAUUCGAAAUGCAAUGUUCAUUACGAUAUUUGAAUAAGCUCUCCGUUUCUUUAGUCGU